rnacentral:ncRNA from 1 species
GGUUAAGUUAGAAAGGGCGCACGGUGGAUGCCUUGGCACUAGGAGCCGAAGAAGGACGGGACUAACACCGAUAUGCUUUGGGGAGCUGUACGUAAGCGUUGAUCCAGAGAUUUCCGAAUGGGGGAACCCACUAUCUUUAGUCGGAUAGUAUCCUUACGUGAAUACAUAGCGUGAGGAAGGCAGACCCAGGGAACUGAAACAUCUAAGUACCUGGAGGAAGAGAAAGAAAAAUCGAUUUCCUGAGUAGCGGCGAGCGAAACGGAAAGAGCCCAAACCAAGAAGCUUGCUUCUUGGGGUUGUAGGACACUCUAUACGGAGUUACAAAAGAAAGUUAUAAAUGAAGCGGUCUGGAAAGGCCCGCCAAAGACGGUAACAGCCCGGUAGUUGAAAUAGCUUUCCCUCCAGAGUGG